GUUUCGGGGUGAGCUGGAGAGAAUGAAGCCAAAGUCGAUGUGGAUGAUGUGACCUUCUGCGUCCAGAAGGAUGUUCCCAUUGUGUCUGAGGAAGGGGAGGAGGAAGAGGCAACAUGACAUUUUUGGGGAUAAAUUAAACAGUGCAUUCCUAUUUCACCGUUUAAAACUCAGAACAUAACGAAUUCCACUUAUUGGAAAUUCAUGCUAUUAGAAAUCCCCGAAGCACACUUAAUAAAAGGAGGUACGUUUCUUGGUUGCACCAGUGCAGUGGACAUGCUCUUUCAGUUCCCCCAAGUGAUGGUUUUGUCAGAUUUCCCUCCAGACCUACUAAGAUCUUAAUGCAGGAAUAAUAGAGUGCACAUUUUCUAGAAAUAAAAGGAGGAAGUGAAUCUUAACAAAUAAUAUAUGAAAAUUAUUGUUUUGGCCCAAAUAGGUCCCACCGUUGUUGAGCUAACUUUCCCCUCAUAGGCAGAGAGACCCAUAACUGCACCAGUACCGAAAGCUGGUUACCUCUUUGUAGCCUCAGCUAUGAAUGAGAAAAACUUUCCAUAUUCAAGCUAUAAACAUGGAAUGUGACCUGAAAAAUAAGUCCAUAUGCCUUUGCUGCUUUUUGUUUUUUAUUCUGAGACAGUCUCAUUACCCAAGCUGGUCUGGAACAUAUGAGGAUGACCUUGAACUUCUGAUCUUCCUUCUGCUAUCUCCCAAGUGUGUGCCAGUAUGCCUGGUUUUAUGGGAUGCUGGAGACUGAACCCUGGUCUUUAUGUAUUUUAGAUAAACUCUACCAACUGAGCUACAUUCUCAGUCUUCCCCAGCCCACCCCCCUUUUUAAAAAGCAGUGUUGGGGAGAUGGCUCAGCAGUAAAGAUCACUGGCUGCUCUUCAAAGGACCAAGGUUUGAUUCCCAGCACCCAUGUGGCAGCUCACUGUAACUCCAGUUCCAGGGGAUCUGACACCCUCUUCUGGCCUUUGUGGACACCAGGUACGAACAUGGUGUGCAGACAUACUUGCAGGCAAAACACACAUAAAAUAAAAAUGUAAUAAAAAAUAAGCUCGGGCCGGGCGGUGGUGGCGCACGCCUUUAAUCCCAGCACUCGGGAGGCAGAGCCAGGCGGAUCUCUGUGAGUUCGAGGCCAGCCUGGUCUCCAAAGCAAGUUCCAGGAAAGGCGCAAAGCUACACAGAGAAACCCUGUCUCGAAAAACCAAAAAAAAAAAAACAAAAAAAAAAAAUAAGCUCUGGCAAAUUCUAUUAAAGAAAAAAUUGGAACGGCUUACUCUUCCUGGGCUUGUUGUGGCAGGCUUAUAUUGAUAUUAAAAAUCACCUGAUUGGUGGCAGUGCAUACUCUGUAGCAUAUUCUGCAUGCUAUGCCCAAAUAUUAUUGCCACUGUAGUGAUAGACGAGUUUUGGCUAACAUGGCACAGUCCUCUAUUUCAGACUUACUUAAAGCAGGAUAGUUGUUGGUGAGGAUGACCAAUUUUGCUUUGUCUUGUGAGACCAUGUUAAAUGUGUGUGAUUUUUUUGUUUGUUUCUCUCUGUAACAGCUCUGGAUGUCCUAAAACUUACUUUGUAGACCAGGCUGGCCUUGAACUCAGAGAUCUGCCUGCCUCUGCCUCCGGACUCCUGGGAUUAAAGGCGUGCGCCACUGCUGCUUG